rnacentral:rRNA from 1 species
GGUGUUAAACCGGAGGAAGGUGGGAUGACGUCAAGUCCUCAUGGCCCUUAUGGGUAGGGCUUCACACGUCAUACAAUGGUCGGUACAGAGGGUUGCCAACCCGCGAGGGGGAGCUAAUCCCAUAAAGCCAGUCGUAGUCCGGACCGCAGUCUGCAACUCGACUGCGUGAAGUCGGAAUCGCUAGUAAUCGUGGAUCAGCAUGUCACGGUGAAUACGUUCCCGGGUCUU